GUACCUCGUUUACACCGAGCCCAUAUCUGUUCACCCAGGUCAUUUUGA
rnacentral:tRNA from 1 species